CAUUAUUGUGUCUUAUUUUGUUUCUACCAUUGAAAAUACAUUGAAAAUUUCAGUCUCAUUUAAUCAAGUGCGUCAUCCGAUUCAAUCAAUGAUUCCAAACUUGAGAAUUUUAAAUUUUAAUGAAUGGAUUUAGUGCACACACACACACACAAACAAAAAAUAUGAUAAUACUGGCAUCAAUUCCCUUGCCCCUGUGGUGAACCCAAACAACAGAGAUAAUUAAAAAGGAAAAAAAAAUAUGCAAACAGAAUAUAUGAAACAGGAAAAAAAAUAACCAAUAUUGGCAGUGUUCAAUUUGGAUAUACAAAUUAAUAUUUACAGCGAAUACAUGAAUUUACCCCGAAAAAAAAAUAUUUACCGGAAAUAAAAUAAUCAGAAUCAGUGAA